AAAUUGAAGAGUUUGAUCAUGGCUCAGAUUGAACGCUGGCGGCAGGCCUAACACAUGCAAGUCGAGCGGUAGCACAGAGAGCUUGCUCUCGGGUGACGAGCGGCGGACGGGUGAGUAAUGUCUGGGAAACUGCCUGAUGGAGGGGGAUAACUACUGGAAACGGUAGCUAAUACCGCAUAACGUCGCAAGACCAAAGUGGGGGACCUUCGGGCCUCAUGCCAUCAGAUGUGCCCAGAUGGGAUUAGCUAGUAGGUGGGGUAACGGCUCACCUAGGCGACGAUCCCUAGCUGGUCUGAGAGGAUGACCAGCCACACUGGAACUGAGACACGGUCCAGACUCCUACGGGAGGCAGCAGUGGGGAAUAUUGCACAAUGGGCGCAAGCCUGAUGCAGCCAUGCCGCGUGUGUGAAGAAGGCCUUCGGGUUGUAAAGCACUUUCAGCGGGGAGGAAGGCGAUAAGGUUAAUAACCUUGUCGAUUGACGUUACCCGCAGAAGAAGCACCGGCUAACUCCGUGCCAGCAGCCGCGGUAAUACGGAGGGUGCAAGCGUUAAUCGGAAUUACUGGGCGUAAAGCGCACGCAGGCGGUCUGUCAAGUCGGAUGUGAAAUCCCCGGGCUUAACCUGGGAACUGCAUUCGAAACUGGCAGGCUAGAGUCUUGUAGAGGGGGGUAGAAUUCCAGGUGUAGCGGUGAAAUGCGUAGAGAUCUGGAGGAAUACCGGUGGCGAAGGCGGCCCCCUGGACAAAGACUGACGCUCAGGUGCGAAAGCGUGGGGAGCAAACAGGAUUAGAUACCCUGGUAGUCCACGCCGUAAACGAUGUCGAUUUGGAGGUUGUGCCCUUGAGGCGUGGCUUCCGGAGCUAACGCGUUAAAUCGACCGCCUGGGGAGUACGGCCGCAAGGUUAAAACUCAAAUGAAUUGACGGGGGCCCGCACAAGCGGUGGAGCAUGUGGUUUAAUUCGAUGCAACGCGAAGAACCUUACCUGGUCUUGACAUCCACAGAACUUAGCAGAGAUGCUUUGGUGCCUUCGGGAACUGUGAGACAGGUGCUGCAUGGCUGUCGUCAGCUCGUGUUGUGAAAUGUUGGGUUAAGUCCCGCAACGAGCGCAACCCUUAUCCUUUGUUGCCAGCGGUUAGGCCGGGAACUCAAAGGAGACUGCCAGUGAUAAACUGGAGGAAGGUGGGGAUGACGUCAAGUCAUCAUGGCCCUUACGACCAGGGCUACACACGUGCUACAAUGGCAUAUACAAAGAGAAGCGACCUCGCGAGAGCAAGCGGACCUCAUAAAGUAUGUCGUAGUCCGGAUUGGAGUCUGCAACUCGACUCCAUGAAGUCGGAAUCGCUAGUAAUCGUAGAUCAGAAUGCUACGGUGAAUACGUUCCCGGGCCUUGUACACACCGCCCGUCACACCAUGGGAGUGGGUUGCAAAAGAAGUAGGUAGCUUAACCUUCGGGAGGGCGCUUACCACUUUGUGAUUCAUGACUGGGGUGAAGUCGUAACAAGGUAACCGUAGGGGAACCUGCGGUUGGAUCACCUCCUUA
rnacentral:rRNA from 1 species